GGGGGCGCCCGGUUUUGACAGCAUAGGUCUUUGAAAGUGUAAGCAUGUACUGCGUUGCGUAAUUAGCAGUUUAAUCUGAAUACGAAAACCAUAAAUGGCAAUACUCAGUAUGCCAUGGCUGCCUAAUCAGUGAUUAAGUAGUCAUUAGGGCCGCCGGGCCGGUUCGCUUGUUUCCACGCCCCGCCGCCGACUCAAAACAAAACAAGAUGCUGCAACAGCAGGCUGUGCCUGUUGCUUAAGACUAUCCAGCUAAGGAAAUAAUCGGUUGCCGGUUUCUCCGAAGGAGUCCUUCGGACCAGUUGUUUCCCGACAAAUCAAAACAGGAUAAACAUGUAGAAAGCUUUUGAUGAAUAUGUUUGGACAGGAGUUCGAUUCUCCUCGCCUCCACGC
rnacentral:tmRNA from 1 species